ACCUGCUCUCAAAUCGUCCUGAAUGUAACUGAUUUUUUUCGGAUUUCUGAAGUUAAAAGUUGAGUCUGGUUCGUACUUGGAUGGGUGACCACCAGGGCUUGCCAGGUGCUGUAGGAG
rnacentral:rRNA from 1 species